GUGGGGAAUCUUGCGCAAUGGGCGAAAGCCUGACGCAGCCAUGCCGCGUGGAUGAUGAAGGUCUUAGGAUUGUAAAAUCCUUUCACCGGUGAAGAUAAUGACUGUAGCCGGAGAAGAAGCCCCGGCUAACUUCGAGCCAGCAGCCGCGGUAAUACGAAGGGGGCUAGCGUUGCUCGGAUUUACUGGGCGUAAAGGGCGCGUAGGCGGACAUUUAAGUCAGGGGUGAAAUCCCGGGGCUCAACCUCGGAACUGCCUUUGAUACUGGGUGUCUUGAGUAUGAGAGAGGUGUGUGGAACGCCGAGUGUAGAGGUGAAAUUCGUAGAUAUUCGGAAGAACACCAGUGGCGAAGGCGACACACUGGCUCAUUACUGACGCUGAGGCGCGAAAGCGUGGGGAGCAAACAGGAUUAGAUACCCUGGUAGUCC
rnacentral:rRNA from 1 species